CCUACGGAUGGCAGCAGUGAGGUAUAUUGGUCAAUGGCCGGGAGGCUGAACCAGCCAAGUCGCGUGAGGGAAGACGGCCCUACGGGCUGUAAACCUCUUUUGUCAGGGAGCAAGGUGCAGGUCAGGAUCUGCUGUGCGAGUACCUGAAGAACAAGCAUCGGCUAACUCCGUGCCAGCAGCCGCGGUAAUACGGAGGAUGCGAGCGUUAUCCGGAUUUCUUGGGUUAAAAGGGUGCGCAGGCGGAGGCACAAGUCAGCGGUAAAAUCGCGGGGCUCAACCCCGCUCCGCCGUUGAAACUGUGGCCCUUGAGUGCGCGAAGGGUAGGCGGAAUGCGUGGUGUAGCGGUGAAAUGCAUAGAUAUCACGCAGAACUCCGAUCGCGAAGGCAGCCUACCGGCGCGCAACUGACGCUCAUGCACGAAAGCGUGGGUAUCGAACAGGAUUAGAUACCCCAGUAGUC
rnacentral:rRNA from 1 species